UUUUUUUAUUUUCUUGUUUAUGAAAAACAAAAAACUGCAAAAAUAUUUCAAUUUGUUUCUCUGAAUUUCUUUUCUUUUUAUUGAGUCAUACCGAGGAGAAGACCACGAUGAAAAUGUUGAGUGGCUCUCAUAUGCAUUAUUGUUGAUCUGACAAAGAGUCCAUAUUACCUUGUCUUCUUCUUUUGAUUAAAAUGUUUGCAGAUUCCAGCUUAGUCCACGACACACUUGCAUAUUAUUAUUUUCAAAUCAUUCGGUUGUGCAAGUGAAAGGCAAUAAGGACGAUAUUCGAUGAACUGGCCGUGGCAGAGAGAAAUGGGUAUGAACUUGAUUUGUUUUAUUUUUUAAAUAUGUUUAACCUAGUAUCCAUCAUUUCAACCUAUUAUGACCAAACAUGUUUGCGAUGACAAUUAGAGAUUAUAGUUUCUCAUGCCAUGCAUAAGUAGCUAGGAGUGGAUAAUGAUUUAUCCAGGAUGUCAGCAUUGUGUUCAAAUGAUUGUGAUGUAGUAUGAUGAUAUGGUAUCCUCCUCUGAAUGUUCGAUGGCUUGACUUGGCACAUGUUCAUGCAUGUAGUUGAAUCAAAACCAACAUGGACUCUAUGAUAUUUAUGUUCAUGGUGUUCAUAUCCUACUCAUGCUAGUAUCCAAUGCUACUUAUGCAUAAUGCAUGUUCAUGACCGUUGUUGCUCUCUACUUGGCCGCUUCUCAACCUAUUUGCUAGCCUAUGGUUUAAGUUAGUGGUCGUGUCCUACAGUCAGUGUGUGCUCUGAUACCAUCUUAUAGCAACCAGACCUCAAACAGUCUAGUCUCUGUGCAUCAAUGUCAUCCUUGGAUCUGUAAUGCUGACACACACAGUACUUGAGGAUUUAUAACAGAGUUUCAAUCACACACUUAUUACAUUGAAUGUCUCAAAAAAGAACUUAUUACAAUAAUAUGGCUUAAGGCCAUCUAAAAAAAGAUAACAACGAAAGGCUUGGAAGAUAAAGUGAGUCCAUCAACUCCAACGGCAUAGCUGAGUGAAUGACAACGACCUAUGGCAACUUACUCGUCGUCUGAAAAGUCUGCAACAUGAUAUGUUGCAGCCCGAAACGGGUCAACACAUGGAAUAUGCUAGCAAAGCAACAACAGAGAGUAAUGAACAGAAUAAAUGAUAUCACUACAUGCAUAUAUGGCUGGUGGAAAGCUCCAUGGUUACAGUUUUUGCAUAAAGCCAAUUUUUCCCUACAUCAAAGGAAUAAAUUUUAUUUAACUAUCAUGGUGGUUGUUAAACAUUGAGAAGGUUCCUCCAAAUCAAUCCCAAUUAAGCAAUAUCAUUAACCCAACAAAUUAAUUUAGAGAGAUGAGAUCAACAGGAUAAUCCAAGAACCAGAUACUCAAGAUGUCCAUAAUCGGGGACAUGCCUAACUGAUACGUCUCCAACGUAUCUAUAAUUUAUGAAGCAUUCAUGCUAUUUUAUUAUCUGUUUUGAAUGAUUAUGGGCUUUAUUAUACACUUUUAUAUUACUUUUGGGACUAACCUAUUAACCGGAGGCCCAGUCCAUAUUGUUGUUUUAUUGCCUGUUUCAGUAUUUCGAGGAAAAGGAAUAUCAGACAGAGUCGAAACGGAACAAAAUCAACUGGAGAAGUUAUUUUUGGAAGGAAAGCCACCUGAUAGACUUGGACUCUACGUUAGAAGAUACGGGAGCUGGCCACGAGGGUGGGGGGCAUGCCCACCCCCCUAGGGCGCGCCCCCUGCCUCGUGGGGCCCUGAAGCUCCGCUGACGUACCCCUUGCACCCAUAUAUACCUACGUACCCUAAAACUUCCAGAACAGAAGAUAGAUCGGGAGUUCCGCCGCUGCAAGCCUCUGUAGCCACCAAAAACCUCUCGGGAGCCCUUUCCGGUACCCUACCGGAGGGGGAUCCCAUCACCGGUGGACAUCUUCAUCAUCCCGGCACUAUCCAUGACGAUGAGGGAGUAGUUCACCCUCGGGGCUGAGGGUAUGUACCAGUAGCUAUGUGUUUGAUCUGUCUCUCUCGUGUUCUCUCUCGUGUUUCCUCUAUGGCACGAUCUUGAUGUAUCCCGAGCUUUGCUAUUGUAGUUGGAUCUUAUGAUGUUUCUCCCCCUCUACUCUCUUGUGAUGAAUUGAGUUCCCCCUUUGAAGUUAUUUUAUCGGAUUGAGUCUUUUAUGAGAACACUUGAUGUAUGUCUUGCGUGGGAUAACCAUGGUGACAAUGGGUUAUCCUAUUGAUCCACUUGAUGUAUGUUUUUGUGAACAACUUGCGGGUUUCGUGACAUUGGGAACCUAUGCAUAGGGGUUGGCACACGUUCUUGACUCUCCGGUAGUAGCUUUGGGGCACUCUUUGAAGUACUUUUGUGUUGGUUGGAUGAAUUUGAGAUUGUGUGAUGCAUAUCAUAUAAUCAGGCCCACGGAUACUUGAGGUGGCAAUGGAGUAUCUAGGUGACAUUAGAGUUUUGCUUGAUUUGUGUCUUAAGGUGUUAUUCUAGUACGAACUCUCUUAUAGAUCGAUCCGAAAGAAUAACUUUGAGGUGGUUUCGUACCCUACCAUAAUCUCUAUGUUUGUUCUCUGCUAUUAGUGGCUUUGGAGUGACUCUUUGUUGCAUGUUCAGGGCUUGUUAUAUGAUCUAUCUAUGUUGUUAUUGUUGAGAGAACUUGCACUAGUGAAAGUAUGAACCCUAGGCCUUGUUUCCUACCAUUGCAAUACCGUUUACGCUCACUUUACCGCUCGCUACCUUGCUGUUUUUAUUAUUUCAUAUUACAAAAACCUAUAUCUACUAUCCAUAUUGCACUUGUAUCACCAUCUCUUCGCCGAACUAGUGCACCUAUACAAUUUACCAUUGUAUUGGGUGUAUUGGGGACACAAGAGACUCUUUGUUCUUUGCUUGCAGGGUUGUUUGAGAGAGACCAUCUUCAUCCUACGCCUCCUACGGAUUGAUAAACCUUAGGUCAUCCACUUGAGGGAAAUUUGCUACUGUCCUACAAACCUGUGCACUUGCAGGCCCAACAACGUCUACAAGAAGAAGGUUGUGUAGUAGACAUCAAGCUCUUUUCUGGCGCCGUUGCCGGGGAGGUGAGUGAUUGAAGGUAUAUCUUUAGAUCUUGCAAUCGAAUCUUUUUGUUUCUUGUUUUAUCACUAGUUUAGUUUAUAAAAGAAAACUACAAAAAAAUGGAGUUAAGUUUGUCUCAUACGCUUUAACUUUUUAAUAUCUUUUGUGAGAAUGAUGGAAAGGAAAAUUGUGCUCAAGUGCUAGAAGAAGAAAUAUUUAAAUUGUUUGGCACUAAAUAUUUGAAUGAUGAGCAUGAUUGCAAUGUUGUUAGUACGAAUUCUUUGAAUAUCCAUGAUGCUAAUGAUGAUUGCCUUAGUUAUGAUGAAAAUGUAUUCUAUAAACAUGUCAAUUUUUGUGGAGUGCAUUGGGUUUGUAAGUACACACCAAAUAGGGAAGAUAGAUAUUGCAAGAGGCAUAAGUACUUAGAAACCAAAUUGUUGCAAGAAGAGCUAGAUGAAUGUGCUGAAAGAUUCAAUAUUUAUAGUACCCCUUAUGAACUUUGCAAUGAACAUGGUCAUUUAAAGCUCCAAUGCUAUUUGUUUCAUGAUCAAGUCGUUUCCAAAUAUUGUGAUAAUUUGAUUACCCUUGAGCAUCAUAAAGAGCUUAGCCUUCUUUUGGGUUAUGAAGAAAUGAAACGUAUAACUGAGGGUAUUCCAAAAUUUAAUCUUGAUAAAUUUCUUGAUUUUGAUCUAGAGAAUAUUUAUAUGUAGUGUGCGGUGAAUUGCAUUGAAAAUCCUUAUAUUGCCAAUUACCUAAAGAAAAUAAAGCAAAUAGAAGAUGAUGAGAAUACUAAUGAAAGGUAAGAGACUUCCCAAUAUCCUCCUAUUAUUUCUUAUGAUGAAUCAGGUGACGAGGAGGAGCUUUCUAUUCAACCAAUCUCAUCAAUAAGGAGCUCAAAGAGGAAGGUUGAACCCACACAUAAUUUGAAUAAGAAAAAGAAAAGAAGGAGCAACAAAGGUAGAAAGGUAUCCCUCCCAAAUGAUGUUGCUCCUACUACUCAUUGUGAUUAUGAUAAUUGCUUUACUAUUGGUGCUAUCCAUAUUUUUAAUGAUGAGAGUGAUUAUGCUUAUGAUAUGGAAGGGCCCAAGCUUGGGGAAGCUAUGUUUGAUGAGGAUGAAAUAUUUGAGAAUUUAUUUGCUGAAAUUAAUGAUUGUCCCAAGCUUGGGGAUGCUGUGUUUAAUGAAGAUGAUAUUUUUAGCAUCCCAAGUUUUGAUAUGCAAAGUUGUUAUGAUGAUAGCAUGCCUCCUACUUAUGAUGAUUAUAUUGAUGAAAGUGGGUUUGGAAGAGUGUCAACUUUAGGAAGUAGUGAUCCCACUAUUUUGUAGGAUGUUGAAUUUUAUUGUCAUGAAUAUGGAAGUGGAUUUGGAAGAGUGUCAACUUUAUUUAGUGAUUCCACUAUCUUGGGAGAGGUUUCAAUCGGUUAUGAUGAGAAUAAAGUUGCUACUUAUGAUGAUUAUUGUGAUGAAACUUAUGCUAUAAAAAGUAGUGAUGAUUAUAUAUACAUAUCUUGUCAUAAUUAUGAUUACCCUUUUUCUGAACAUUACUCUUUUAAUGUGGAAACAAUUUUUAGUGUUCAAGUCUUUUAUGAUACUCUCACUAUUCCGAACGAGAAGAAUUUUGCUUAUGAGGAGAGUAGUAAAUUUUCUAUGCUUGUAGAUCAUGAAAAGAAUGCUUUAAGUGCUGGUUAUAUUGUUGAAUUCAUUCAUGAUGCUACUGAAACUUAUUAUGAGGGAGGAAUAUAUGCUUGUAGGAAUUGCAAUAAUGUCAAGUUUCCUCUCUAUGUACCUAAAAUUUCAAAGUUAUGCUUGUUUUCUCUUCCUAUGCUUGCUGAUUAUUGUUCACAUAAGUUGUUUUCUCACAAAAUCCCUAUGCAUAGUAAGUGGGUUAGGAUUAAAUGUGCUAGGCAUAUGCUUCAUGAUGCUCCCUUUAUGUUUCAAUUCUUAUCUUUUAUGUGAGCAUCAUUGCCAUCAUCAUGCCUAGCUAAAAAAGGCAUUAAAGAAAAGUGCUUGUUGGGAGACAACCCAAUAUCUACCCUUACUGUUUUUGUGUGUCCACAUGAUUAUGCUAAUGUAGUAAUAAUGUUUUAUAGCUUUUGUUUCAAUAAAGUGCCAAGUAGAACCUUUGGGAAGACUUGGGUGAAGUUUAUGUGAUCUUGCUGUGAAAAACAGAAACUUUAGUGCUCACGAUAUUAGCUGCCAUUUAUUACUGGAGAGUGCUUUUAGGUUGAUUAUUUUUGCAUAUGAUUAAUAGACAAAUUUCUCAGGUUCAGAAAUUUAUUUAAUAAUUUUUGGGGUUCCAGAAGUAUACGUUUUAUACAGAUUACUACAGACUGUUUUGUUUUUGACAGAUUCUGUUUUCUAUGUGUUGUUUGCUUAUUUUGAUGCAUCUAUGGCUAGUAUUAAGUGGUAUGAACCAUAGAGAAGUUAGAAUACAGUAUAUAUUACACCAAUAUGAAUUUAGAAUGAGUUCAUUACAGUACCUAAGUGGUGGUUUUAUUUUCUUAUACUAACGGAGCUUACGAGUUUUGUGUUGAGUUUUGUGUGGUUGAAGUUUUCAAGUUUUGGGUAAAGAUUCGAUGGACUAUGGAAUAAGGAGUCGAAAGAUCCUAAGCUUGGGGAUGCCCCGGAAGGCAUCCCCUCUUUCGUCUUCGUUCAUCGGUAACUUUACUUGGAGCUAUAUUUUUAUUCACAACAUGAUAUGUGUUUUUCUUGGAGCGUCAUUAUAUCUUGUUAGUAUUUGCUUGCUGUUAGUUAUAAUAAUGUUUUGCAUCUUUAGUUUCAAUAAAAAAGUCAAGGAUAGCCUUUGCCAUGCUUAUUUUGCUAGUAUACAUGUUGCUGUUUGAAAACAGAAAGCUUACGAGUUUUUUGUUGAGUUUUGUGUUGUGAAGUUUUCAAGUUUUGGGUAAAGAUUCGAUGGACUAUGGAAUAAAGAGUGUCAAGAGCCUAAUCUUGGGGAUUCCCAAGGCACCCCAAGGCAAUAUUCAAGGACAACCAAGAGCCUAAGCUUGGGGAUGCCCCGGAUGGCAUCCCCUCUUUCGUCUUAGUCUAUCAGUAACUUUACUUGGAGCUAUAUUUUUAUUCACCACAUGAUAUGUGUUUUGCUUGGAGCAUCAUUUUCUUUUGUUAGUAUUAGCUUGCUUUUAUUUAGAAUAAUGUUUUUGCAUCUUUAGUUUCAAUAAAAAUGUCAAGGAUAGCCUUUACCAUGCUUAUUUUGCUAGUAUACAUGUUGCUGUUUGAAAACAGAAAGUUUACCGCUGUUGCAAAAAUUCCCUAGAAAAAUCAGAGAAUGGUAUAACAUUGAAUCUUUUUUCAUAUUCAGAUAUGAUAAAUUUAUUACAGUGGGAAUUUUAGUUCAUAAUUUUUGUAGUCAUGGAAGUAUUCAUACUCUUGCAUUCUUUACAGACUGUACUGUUUUGGCAGAUUGCUGUUAUGGUUGCAUUGUUUGCAUAUGUUUGCUUGUUUAAUGAUUCUAUUUGAGGAUAGGAGUAUUAAAUAUACAGAGGCAUUUAGUAUGAAAUGUUGAAUAAUUUUAGUGAUUUGUUACAGUAGAAGAUGAUAUGGUUUUGCAUUGGUUUAUACUAACCUAUCUCAUGAGUUCUUGUUGAGUUUGUUGUGAAUGAAGCUUUUGAUAAAAAGAGAAACCAUGAUAUGAGAGGAAUUAAGGAGACACAAAAGUUCAAGCUUGGGGAUGCCCAAGGCUCCCCAAGAUAAUAUUUCAAGAAGUCUCAAGCAUCUAAGCUUGGGGAUGCCCCGGUAGGCAUCCCACCUUUCUUCUUCAACAACUAUCGGUUAGUAUCGGUUGAGCCUAAGUUUUUGCUUCUUCACAUGAUUUGUGCUAUCCUUGCAAUGUCAUUUUAUUUUGUUUUGCUUGCUGCUUGAAUACAAUACCAAGAUCUGAAAUUCUUUAUUGAGAGAGAGUCUUCGCAUAGUUGCAUAAUUAUUUUGCUACUCAUUGAUCUUCACUUAUAUCUUGUUGGAGUAGUUUUUCAUUUACUCGUGUGCUUCACUUAUAUCCUAUGAGUAAAUGGUUGAAUGAGUUGAAUGUCAUAAAUCUGAAAUUAUAUAUGUUUCAUUUGCUUAUCCCAUGGGGAGUAAUGACUUCACAUCUAAGAAGUAGAGGUUGUAAAUUUAUUGACGGUUAGCAAGCAUUGUAUUAGUCAUUUGAACAAUUCAUGAAAGAAUAUUGAAGGAAGAGAGAUUUCACAUAUAAAUAUAUUUUCAUAGACAUCUUUUAUAGUUGUGAGCACUCAUUAAGUAUGACAUGCUAAAGAGUUGUUGUUGGACAAGGAAGACAACGUAAUGGGUUAUGUUUUCUCGCAUCUCAGUUAAAGUAUAUUGUCAUGGAUCAUUCAAACAUGUUGAGCUUGCCUUUCUCCCCUUGCUAGCCUAAAUUUAUGUACUAAGCGGGAAUACUGCUUGUGCAUCCAUUAUCCUUAAACCCAGUUUUUGCCAUGAGUGCCCACCAUACCUACCUAUAUGCGGUAUUUACCUGCCGUUCCAAGUAAAUUUGCAUGUGCAAAACUCUAAACCUUCAAAUUAUAAUCUGUUUUGUAUGCCCGAAUUGCUCAUGUAGCAAUUAGGGGCUGUCAGUGUCUUCCAUGCUAGGUGGGUUAUUCUCAAGAGGAGUGGACUCUGCUCCUCAUUCACGAGAAAGUGGCGGUAAUCGGGAUGCCCAGUCCCAUGAUCCAAAAAGAUCAAAGCAAAUCAAAAUAAUUAAACAAAACUCCCGCAGGAUUGUUGUUAGUUGGAGGCACUCGUUGUUUCGAGCAAGCCAUGGAUUGAUGCUUGUUGGUGGUUGGGGGAGUAAAAACUUUUACCAUUUUGUUUGGGAACCGCCUAUAAUGUAUGUAGUAUGGAAGAUAUUGGGAACUCUUGAUUGUUAUGUUGAAAAUGAGAUCAUGCCUCUCAAAAUUAUUUAUCUCUAUUUUAAAAAUCGAGCUCUGGCACCUCUGCAAAUCCCUACUUCCCUCUGCGAAGGGCCUAUCUUUUACUUUAUGCAAGAGUCAAGGUGAUCUUCACCUUUCCAUUUUUCAUUUUAUCCUUUGGCAGGCACUUUGUGUUAGGGUGAUCCUGAUAUAUAUAUCCAAUUGGAUGUACGUUAGCAUGAACUAUUAUUGUUGACAUCACCCAAAGGUGAAUAUGUUUGGAGGCAACCUUAUAAGCCCCAAGCUUCAUAACCGUGUCUGAUUAAAACUUCAUAACCACAAGUAUUGCUUGAGUGUUAGCAAUUGUAGAAGACUAUAUGAUAGUUGAGUAUGUGGAGUUUUCUAUUCCUGAAAGUAAGAUGAAUUGCAAUUGUUUGAUGACUAAGAAUAAAGUUUGCUAGUUUUCAAGAAAGUUUAUGGUCUAUGCUUUAACUUGUGAAUUGCUUGUUACUAGUUCGUGAAAAGUUUUAUGAGAUGAACUAUUGUUAUGACAUAUUAUCAUGCUAGAAAAGGUGAUUGAAAUUAUCAUUGAUCAAACUUCUGCACCUCUAGCAUUCACACAUCAUAAAUUCUUUCUUUAUCAUUUACCUACUCGAGGACGAGUAGGAAUUAAGCUUGGGGAUGCUGAUACGUCUCCAACGUAUCUAUAAUUUAUGAAGCAUUCAUGCUAUUUUAUUAUCUGUUUUGAAUGAGUAUGGGCUUUAUUAUACACUUUUAUAUUACUUUUGGGACUAACCUAUUAACCGGAGGCCCAGCCCAUAUUGCUGUUUUAUUGCCUAUUUUAGUAUUUCGAGGAAAAGGAAUAUCAGACGGAGUCGAAACGGAACGAAAUCAACUGGAGAAGUUUUUUUUGGAAGGAAAGCCACCGGAUAGACUUGGACUCUACGUCAGAAGAUACGAGAGCUAGCCACGAGGGUGGGGGGCGCCCACCCCCCUAGGGCGCGCCCCCCUGCCUUGUGGGGCCCCCGAAGCUCCACCGACGUACCCCUUGCACCCAUAUAUACCUACGUACCCUAAAACUUCCAGAACAGAAGAUAGAUCGGGAGUUCCGCCGCCGCAAGCCUCUGUAGCCACCAAAAACCUCUCGAGAGCCCGUUCCGGCACCCUGCCGGAGGGGGAUCCCAUCACCGACGGCCAUCUUCAUCAUCCUGGCACUAUCCAUGACGAGGAGGGAGUAGUUCACCCUCGGGGCUGAGGGUAUGUACCAGUAGCUAUGUGUUUGAUCUCUCUCUCUCUCGUGUUCUCUCUCGUGUUUCCUCUAUGGCACGAUCUUGAUGUAUCCCGAGCUUUGCUAUUGUAGUUGGAUCUUAUGAUGUUUCUCCCCCUCUACUCUCUUGUGAUGAAUUGAGUUUCCCCUUUGAAGUUAUUUUAUCGGAUUGAGUCUUUUCUGAGAACACUUGAUGUAUGUCUUGCGUGGGAUAACCGUGGUGACAAUGGGUUAUUCUAUUGAUCCACUUGAUGUAUGUUUUGGUGAUCAACUUGCGGGUUUUGUGACAUUGGGAACCUAUGCAUAGGGGUUGGCACACGUUCUUGACUCUCCGGUAGUAGCUUUGGGGCACUCUUUGAAGUACUUUUAUGUUGGUUGGAUGAAUAUGAGAUUGUGUGACGCAUAUCGUAUAAUCAUGCCCACGGAUACUUGAGGUGACAAUGGAGUAUCUAGGUGACAUUAGGGUUUUGGUUGAUUUGUGUCUUAAGGUGUUAUUCUAGUACGAACUCUCUUAGAGAUCGAUCCGAAAGAAUAACUUUGAGGUGGUUUCGUACCCUACCAUAAUCUCUAUGUUUGUUCUCCGCUAUUAGUGGCUUUGGAGUGACUCUUUCUUGCAUGUUGAGGGCUUGUUAUAUGAUCAAUCUAUGUUAUUAUUGUUGAGAGAACUUGCACUAGUGAAAGUAUGAACCCUAGGCCUUGUUUCCUACCAUUGCAAUACCGUUUAUGCUCACUUUUACCGCUCGCUACCUUGCUGUUUUUAUUAUUUCAGAUUACAAAAACCUAUAUCUACUAUCCAUAUUGCACUUGUAUCACCAUCUCUUUGCCGAACUAGUGCACCUAUACAAUUUACCAUUGUAUUGGGUGUGUUGGGGACACAAGAGACUCUUUGUUAUUUGGUUGCAGGGUUGUUUGAGAGAGACCAUCUUCAUCCUACGCCUCCUACGGAUUGAUAAACCUUAGGUCAUCCACUUGAGGGAAAUUUGCUACUAUCCUACAAACCUGUGCACUUGCAUGCCCAACAACAUCUACAAGAAGAAGGUUGUGUAGUAGACAUCACUAACCAUGAUUAGUUUGUACACUAUGCAGAGGUUUGCACACUUUUCCCCACAAGACUCAAUCUCAUCCGUUAGAUUUCUCGCACUACAUGGUGUUUGAGAAACGGAUGACCGAGACAUGGUCUUUUAGAAACAUUAACUCUUUACUCUGGAUGGACAGUUACACCUACUUUCCCCUACAUCUUCUAGCCCACCACUAAAAUAGGUCAUGCAACCUACUCAACUAUGCUAGAGCCCAUAAUAGCUUGUGGUUGCACACGGAAGAUUCUAGCAUGAAUAAUCUUAUGAUCCCUUUGAGCCUGGGUGGCGAACCGUAGGAUGAUCACACGGGUACUCCGGGAUAUCCUAGGACAACACUGGAUUCUCCAGGUGCCCGCACCCAAUCCACCCAAAUGUGUACUUAAGUAGCCACCUUAAGUUAUCCAAUAAUUAAAAAAUCUCACAUCUGUCAUGGAUACACUCACCCAAUCCACGUCUACGAGCAUAGCAUAGCAAUCCUGAGCAUAACGUAGAAGUGACUCCCAAAGUUUUGAUAAUAAAAGGGCAAUAGGUGCUACAUCAUCAUCUACUUCCCAAACCCACAUGUCAAACAGAUCCUAACCAUGAAAUGUUUGAGGAUUGAAACUAAUGCGUAAAACCUAGGUAGUAACGGGAUAUGAUCAAAGUGUUACUUGCCUUGCUGAUGAUCUGCAAAACCUAGAGACUCAUAGUAGCACGCUUCGCACUCCGAGAAUUCUAUCGCAAACAAACAAUAACAUACAUAAGCACUCAAACAAGAAGCACGGGUAAAACUUAAAUAAGAAGAUCUAACCAGAAAGUUCAACUGAAGAACUCCGGUUUGCAAAAAGAAUCAAAUCAAACGGAGCAACGAAACUCAAACUACGAAUGAAACAAGAUUCGUUUACUAAUCUGGACUAAAGUUAAAUUUUACAAUACCAAAAUCAUGUUCAAGUUAGUUAAACAGAAAGAGUGCUUCGAGAUGAAGAUUUAGGCGCUGGUUACAUCUAAUUUGGAUAAACGAGCGAAAAGUUAUACUAGUUCGAAGAUCAGGGCAGAAAUCACGAUCGAAAAUAAUCACAGAUAAAACCCUGGAAAAUAAAACGAGACGAAUAGGCUAAUGAACAAAUGUUCGUUAACAGAACCUAGGCGGUGAACGGCAUUCGUUAAAAUGAACAAACGGACGAACGUCCGCUAAAUAACUAAACCGGAACAAAAAACCAAACCGAUCUAUUUAAAAAAUAGAUCUAGGGUUAAAAAACGAUUAACCAAAAAAAACGACGAACGGCAGCGGCGACGGCGGCUACCUCCGGCGAGGCGUCGGCGGGGCUCCGACGGAUGCGGCGGUGAGGGGCGACGGCGGCGCGGGCAGCGGCGGCUCGCGGCGCGGGCGGCGGUGGAUGCGGGUGCGGGACGGCGGUGGCGGGUGGCGUUGAGGGUGGCGGGGUGGCGGCUUGUAUAGGGGGUCGAGGGCUUCUGACUUGGGGGAGGGGGAGGACUCCAGCAAGUCCGACUCGGGCAUGGGAGGGAGGUGGCAGCGGCGACUUGGGCUGGCCUGCUCGGCUAGGCUUCGGCCCAGUCGGGCGGGGAAACCUUUUUGUUUAAUAAUUCCGCCGAAAACAGAAAAAUCCUAAUAAAAUAUUAAAAAAUCCUAAAACGCCAAAAACAAUUUUCACCGUCUAAAAAGAAUAUUUAGAACAAAGUGAGCAUUUUUCUGGCCUAAGAAUGCAAUUUUGAAAACAUGCAUAUUUUUCUAAUUGAAAUAAAAUAGCGAUAAACUCCAAAUAAAAUAUAAAUUUGAUUUUAACAAUUUUCCUCCGAUAUUUCUUUUAUUUUGGAGAAGUCAUUUUAUCCCCUCUCUUUUAUUUUGAUAAUGGAAAUAUUUGGAGAGAAAAUGAUUAAAACCAACAUGAUCCUCUUUUCAAUAUUUGAGAAAAUUCAAAUAUGAAAAUAGACGAAAUCCCCAAUUCUCUCCGUGGGUCCUUGAGUUGCGUAGAAUUUCUAGGAUCAACCAAAAUGCAAUAAAAUAUGAUAUGCAAUGAUGACCUAUGUAUAACAUUCCAAAUUGAAAAUUUGGGAUGUUACAAUCCUACCCCCCCUUAAGAUGAAUCUCGCCCUUGAGAUUCGGGUUGGCUAGGAAAUAGGUGCGGGUGGUCCUUCCGUAGGUCUUCCUCUCGUUCCCAGGUGGCUUCAUCCUCGGUAUGGUGCCUCCACUGAACUUUGCAAAACUUGAUAACCUUGUUGCGUGUGACUCGGCUGGAAAAUUUGAGAAUCUUCAUUGGUUUUUCCUUGUAGGUCAAAUCACUAUCUAGCUGAAUCGCUUCCAGUGGCACUGUAUCUCUCAGAGGAAUAUCAGCCAUCUCUACGUGGCACUUCUUCAACUGGGAAACGUGAAACACAUCGUGAACUCCUGACAAUCCUUCUGGCAAUUCCAACUUGUAAGCAACUUCUCCCAUACGUUCCAAAACUUUGUAUGGUCCCACAAAACAUGGUGCUAACUUUCCCUUAACUCCAAAACGCUUAACUCCUCGAAGUGGGGACACACGAAGAUAUACUCUGUCUCCGACUUCGUAAACUGUCUCUUUGCGUUUAGAAUCCGCAUAACUCUUCUGCCUGGACUGGGCUACCUUGAGUCUAUCCCAAAUCAGUUUAACCUUCUCUUCAAACUCCUUAAUCAAAUCUGGUCCAAACAACUGACGGUCUCCAACUUCAUCCCACAAUAACGGUGUCCUGCACCUCCUUCUGUACAAAGCUUCGAAAGGGGCCAUCUUCAAACUGGCUUGAUAACUAUUUUUAUAAGAUAACUCUGCAUACGGCAAGUUGUCGUCCCAACUAGAUCCAUAGUCUAGCGCACAAGCUCUCAACAUGUCCUCCAGAAUAUGAUUGACUCUCUCGGUCUGUCCAUCUGUCUGUGGAUGAAAGGAUGUACUGAACCCUAGCCUGGUACCCAAAGUCUCAUGCAACUAAUUCCAGAACUUUGAGGUAAACUGGAUUCCUCUAUUUGAUACAAUGGUCCUUGGAACUCCAUGCAGACAUAUGAUCCUGGUCAUGUAUAUCUUUGCCAACUUCGCACUUGUAUAAGUGGUCUUCACUAGGAUGAAAUGAGCUACUUUCGUCAACCGAUCCACUACAACCCAUAUCGAGUCAUAGCCUGAACGAGUCCAGGGCAAUCCCGUGAUAAAAUCCAUGCCAAGCUUGUCCCACUUCCAUUCAGGUAUCGGCAAUGGCUAUAGAAAUCCUGCUGGCUUAUGAUGCUUUGCCUUUACUCUUUGACAUACAUCACAAACUGCUACAUACUCAGCAAUGUCCUUCUUCAUUCCUGUCCACCAGAAACUUUCCUUCAAAUCCAGAUACAUCUUAGUGUAUCCUGGAUGAAUCGAAUACCGCGAAUCAUGGGCCUCCUGUAGAAUCAACUUCCUGAUCUCGGGGUCAUUAGGCACAUAUACACGAUCCUCAAACCAUAAGGUAUCAUGCUCAUAUUCACAAAAUCCUUUAGCCUUUCCUUUUCUCAUCCUUUCCUUUAUCUCGGCAAUCUCCUUGUCAAUCUUCUGGGCUUCUCUGAUCUUAUCCAUCAAAAUGGAAUGAAUUUCCAAUGCUGCUACAUAACCUCUUGGAACUAUUUCCAAACAUAGCUCGUGAAGAUCCUCUGCUAACUCCUUGGGUAAUUCUCCGGUCAUCAGCGUAUUAACAUAAUUCUUGCGGCUCAACGGAUCGGCUACUACAUUAGCCUUUCCGGGAUGAUAUUGCAGCUUCAUAUCAUAAUCCUUAAUGAGCUCCAACCAUCUCCUUUGCCUGAGGUUCAACUCCUUCUGCGUGAAGAUAUAUUUCAAACUCUUGUGAUCCGUGUAUACAUCACAAUGGUUUUCGAUGAGAAAAUGUCUCCAUGUCUUCAACGCAUGCACUACGGCUGCUAACUCCAAAUCAUGUGUAGCAUAAUUUAGCUCAUGGGGUUUAAGCUGUCGUGAAGCAUAUGAAACGACUCUUCCCUCCUGCAUAAGCACUGCUCCAAGUCCUCGACGAGAAACGUUGCAAUACACUUGAUAAUCCUUUCGUUGAUCUAGAAGAAUCAACACUGGGGUUGUAACCAAACGUUUCUUCAACUCCUGAAAAUUGGCUUCACACUCCUCAGCCCAUUUGAACUUGGUGUCUUUCUUCAACAACUCUGUCAUGGGCUUUUGCAAUCCUGGAGAAAUUCUCUAUGAACCUCCGGUAAUAUCCCGUGAGUCCAAGAAAACUCCUGAUCUCUCCAACUAACAUGGGUGCCACCCAUUUACUCACAGAAACAACCUUGGUGGGGUCUACUACUAUUUCUUCUUCGGAUAUAACAUGUCCGAGGAAUCCAACUUCCUUCAACCAAAACUCACACUUGCUGAACUUGGCAUAUAACUGAUGUUCCCUGAGCUUCUCGAGAACCAAACGCAAAUGCUCCUUAUGCUCCUCUUCAUUCUUCUAGUAGACCAAUAUAUCAUCAAUGAACACUAUAACGAACUUAUCCAAAAACUCCAUAAACACCUUAUUCAUCAUGUUCAUGAAAUAGGCAGGCGCAUUAGUCAGACCAAAUGACAUAACGGUAUACUCAUAUAGCCCGUACCUUGUGGUAAAAGCUGUCUUAGGUAUAUCCUGCUCUCGAAUCUUCAACUGGUGGUAUCCUGAUCGUAGAUCUAUCUUGGAAAAUACUUUAGCUCCUUGCAACUGGUCAAACAAAUCAUUGAUCAUCGGUAGUGGAUACUUGUUCUUGAUCAUCACCUCAUUCAGCGCACGAUAAUCAACAACUAUCCUUAAUGAUCCAUCCUUCUUCUCCACUAGAAGUACUGGGGAUCCCCAAGGUGACGAACUUGGUCGAAUGUAUCCUUUAUCCAGUAACUCCUUAAUCUGCUUCUUAAUUUCCUCCAAAUCCUUCAUGGGCAUCUGAUACGGUCUCUUUGAUAUUGGCACGGUGCCUGGCAAAAGCUCAAUCAAAAACUCAACGUCUCUAUCCGGUGGCAUUCCUGCCAACUCUUUCGGAAAUAUGUCGGGGUAAUCCUUCACCACUGGUACUUCCUCCUGUACAACUCCUGAUAAGGAAUUCACUUGAGUCCUCUUUGGCACAUGACGGGAUACAUACUUAAUCCUUCUUCCUUCUGGGUGGUGAGCAUAAUUGACUUACUAGUGCAAUCGAUGUUUCCUCCAUACAUCGAUAGCCAAUCCAUACCCAAAAUCACAUCCAAUCCUUGCGACUCCAGAAUUAUCAGGUCCGAGGGGAAAACAUGCCUACCUAUGGUCAAUGGCAUCUAAAAACAUCCUUGGCUUGCCAUAUGUUCUACUACUGGCGAGCUUACUAACAUAGGUGUCCUAAGAACUUUGGUGGGCAACUUAUACUUAUCCACAAAUCCCCUUGAUAUGUAUGAAUGCGAUGCACCAGUAUCAAAAAGAACGAUUGCAGUAAAUGACCUAACCAAAAACUUACCUAUAACUGCAUCUGGCUACUCUACUCCUCCAUGCUAACAUGGUUCACUUGUCCCCUGUUGAAAGGGUUGGGCUUCUUCCCAGAGCUUUCAUUGCCAUUUCCAUUCUUUUCUUCAGAAUACUCGGUGGCAUAAUGUCCAUUCUUCCCGCACUUGAAACAAGUAAUGUGACUUAGAUCCUUAUUGGCGGGCGUUGCCGGGUUGGAACGGUUCUGGCCAUUGCUUCUUCCAUUCCCAUUCUCAUUCUUGGGGCCACUAUGGUUAUGCGAACUUCCUCCAUUGGAAUUAUGGCCUCCAUGGUUAUGGUGAAUGUGUCCUCCCUAGUUCGGCGUAAAACGAGGCCUCUGCUAAGCUCCUGAAUUGUACUUCCCUUGUCCAUACUUCCUCUUGUGGUUUUCUAUCUACCAACUCCUGGUAGUUGUUGAAUGUUGCCACCAUCAACUACAUGCUCAGCUCAUCAUUCAGUCCUUCCAAAAACUUCUCCUGCUUAGCAGCAUCAGUUGCUAUGUCAUCAGGGGCAUAACAUGCUAACUUACUAAACUCAUCCACAUACUGGCCCACUGUGCAUCCUCCUUGGUGCAAGUUGCGAAACUCGCGCUUCUUCAUGUUCAUAGCUCUUGCUGAAACAUGGGCAGUGCGGAAAGCCUGCUGAAACUGGUCCCAUGUAACAGUGUUAAUGGGGCAAGUGGCUGUGAAAUUCGCCCACCAUGAUGUUGUGGGUCCAUCAAGCUGAUGUGUGGCAAAAUGCACUCUAUCUGCAUCUGUGCAUCCUACAGUGGUCAGCUCCCUUCCAAUCUUGCGGAGCCAAUCAUCUGCAACAAUCAGCUCGGUGCUACUAGAGAACACCGACGGAUUCAGCCUUAGGAAACGGGUUAAGUGAUCAACAGGUGGUGGUGGUGGUGGGUUGUCGUUGUUGCCUUGAUUCUGAUUCUGAACUAGUAGCUGCAUCAAGGUAUUUUGCUGCUGGAUCAACUGAGUGAGCUCCGGUGGGAAAGCAAAUCCAUUGUCAUGUCUCGGAGGCAUCUGAUGGGUUUAGAAAAGGUGAGAAAACAGAAUAGAAUGAGGUCUAAAGGGAAAACACUACCCAUAUGCACAUGAGACAAACACAAUCAUAUCACUUUCAAUAAAUUUAAACAAGGGCAUACAAUCGGUCUAACUAUCGUUACAAAAGUGCUCGGACUAUUCUAUAUACAUGGGGGAAUACUACUACUGAUAUGGUGGUCGGAUAGAAGUUUUGAUCGGUGGAAGACUCCAUGAUAUCUGCUCCAGCUUCAUCAACAUAGUCAUCAUCGCUAUCGUCGGGGUCAGAAUCUGUGUCGUCGAUGAUGAUGUAGUCCUCCGAACGAAUGUCCUUGGAAUGGUCAUCAUCUCCUCCUGGCACGGGGUCUCCCAUGAAUACUUCUAGCUUCCUCGUCAGGUCGUCAUUCUUCUCCACUAGUAUCAUCAUUUCCUCCUCAUAUCCAUCACGUGUAGACUUGAGUUCCUCCUCCAGCUCCGAAAUCCUGGUCAUUGCCUUCUUCAGAUCUAUCAUGCCUGCGCACAUCUGGUUCUCCUGGCGACGAAUGUGCUGGUUUAACUCCUGGAUGAAAGCUGCAAUGGGCCUGUCCCUCCUGGUGCUGAUCAUCUCCCAUUGCUCAUCCCGGCGCCCACAUAGCUGGUAGAUGGUGUCCUUAAGAUCCUUGUGAUAAACUUCUCCAAUGCGUCCCAUGGCGAUGUGGGCUGCCAUGCUCUUUCCUAGACUCCAGGUUGGUGCAUGAAAGGAAAACUCUAUGGGCUCAGUGACUGGCAUGAACGUCCUUCCUGGAACUUGAACUCGAAUCAUCCAAUGCUCCUCUUCUGGUAAAGUGGCGUUGUAGGUCCCGGUGAAGCUUGGUAUUCCGAUGUUCAGGUACCUAGUGACUUCCUUCAAGUGUCGUCCAAAAGGAGUGUCUUCAUCCGGUUGUGUAAACUUGUUCCUUGAGUCCGCCAUCCUAUAGUGUGGAAAAGGGAGAGGAGUCAGAAAUGAGUAGAGAAGAGUGACCUAUGGUUUAACUUAAUGGUCGUGUCCUACAGUCAGCGUGUGCUCUGAUACCAUCUUGUAGCGACCAGACCUCAAACAGUCUAGUCUCUGUGCAUCAGUGUCAUCCUUGGAUCUGUAAUGCUGACACGCACAGUACUUGAGGAUUUAUAACAGAGUUUCAAUCACACACUUAUUACAUCGAAUGUCUCAAAAGAGAACUUAUUACAAUAAUAUGGCUUAAGGCUAUAUAAAAAAAGAUAACAGCGGAAGGCUUGGAAGAUAAAGUGAGUCCAUCAACUCCAACGGCAUAGCUGAGUGAACGACAACGACCUAUGGCACAUUACUCGUCGUCUGAAAAGUCUGCAACAUGAUAUGUUGCAGCCCGAAACAGGUCAGCACAUGGAAUAUGAUGGCAAAGUAACACCAAAGAGUAAUGAACAGAAUAAAUGCUAUCACUACAUGCAUAUAUGGCUAGUGGAAAGCUCUAUGGUUACAGUUUUUGCAUAAAGCCAAUUUUUCUCUACAUCAAAGGAAUAAAUUUUAUUUAACUAUCAUGGGGGUUGUUAAACAUUGAGAAGGUUCCUCCAACUCAAUCCCAAUUAAGCAAUAUCAUUAACCCAACAAAUUAAUUUAGAGUGAUGAGAUCAACAGGAUAAUGCAAGAACCAGAUACUCAAGAUGUCCAUAACCGGGGACACGGCUAACCAUGAUUAGUUUGUACACUAUGUAGAGGUUUGCUCACUUUUCCCCACAAGACUCGGUCUCCUCCGUUAGAUUUCUCGCACUACAUGGUGUUUGAGAAACGGAUGACCGAGACACAAUCUUUUAGAAACAUUAACUCUUUACUCAGGAUGGACAGUUACACCUACUUUCCCCUACAUCUGCUAGCCCACCACUAAAAGAGGUCUUGCAACCUACUCAACUAUGCUAGAGCCCAUAAUAGCUUGUGGUUGCACACGGAAGUUUCUAGCAUGAAUAAUCUUAUGAUCCCUUUGAGCCUGGGUGGCGAACCGUAGGAUGAUCACACGGGUACUCUGGGAUAUCCUAGGACAACACUGGAUUCUCCAGGUGCCCGCACCCAAUCCACCCAGAUGUGUACUUAAGUAGCCACCUUAAGUUAUCCAAUAAUUAAAAAAUCUCACAUCUGUCAUGGAUACACUGACCCAAUCCACGUCUACGAGCAUAGCAUAGCAAUCUUGAGCAUAACGUAGAAGUGACUCGCAAAGGUUUGAUAAUAAAAGGGCAAUAUGUUCUACCUCAUCAUCUACUUCCCAAACCCACAUGUUAAACAGAUCCUAACCAUGCAACAUUUGAGGAUUGAAACUAAUGCAUAGAAACUGGGUAAUAACGGGAUAUGAUCAAAGUGUUACUUGUCUUGCUGAUGAUCUACAAAACCUAGAGACUCAUAGUAGCACGCUUCGCACUCCAGGAAUUCUAUCGCAAACAAACAAUAACAUACAUAAGACUCAAAUAAGAAGCAUGGGUAAAACUCAAAUAAGAAGAUCUAACCAGAAAGUUCAACUGAAGAACUCCGGUUUGCAAAAAGAAUCAAAUCAAACGGAGCAACGAAACUCAAAACUAUGAACGAAACAAGAUUCAUUUACUAAUCUGGACUAAAUUCAAAUUUUACAAUACCAAAAUCAUGUUCAAGUUGGCUAAACAGAAAGAGGGCUUAGAGACGAAGAUUUAGGCGCUGGUUUCAUCUAAUUUGGAUAAACAAGCGAAAAGUUAUACUAGAUCGAAGAUCAGGGCAGAAAUGGUGAUCGAAAAUAAUCGCAGAUAAAACCCUGGAAAAUAAAACGAGACGAACAGGCUAACGAACGAACGUUCGUUAACAGAACCUAAAUGGUGAAUGGCGUUCAUUAAAACGAACGAACGAACGGACGAACGUCCGCUAAAUAACUAAACUGGAAAAAAACCGAACCGAUCUAUUUAAAAAAAAUAGAUCUAAGGUUUUAAAAAAACAAACGGUUAACCUAAAAAAGAGACAAACGGCGGUGGCGGCGGCUACCUCCAACGAGGUGUCGGCGGGGCGGGGCGGCGUCGGUGGAGCUCCGGCGGCUGCGGUGGUGAGGGGCGACGGCGGUGCGGGCGGUGGUGGCUCGCGGCGCGGGCGGCAGUGGCUGCGAGUGCGGGGCGGCGGUGGCGGGUGGCGGAGAGGGCAGCGGGGCGGCGACAUAUAUAGGGGGUCGGGGGGUUCCGACUUGGGGGAGGAGGCGGCCGACGGCGUGGCGCGGGCGGACUCUGGCGAGUCCGGCUCGGGCACGGAAGGGAGGCGGCGGCGGCGGCGACUUGGGCCGGCCUGCUCGGCUGGGCUUCGGCCCAGUCGGGCGGGGAAACCCUUUUUUCUAUAAAUAAUUCCGCCGAAAACAGAAAAAUCCUAAUAAAAUAUAAAAAAUUCCUAAAAUGCCACCGUCUAAAAAGAAUAUUUAAAACGAAGAGAACAUUUUUCUGGCCUAAGAAUGCAAUUUUAAAAACAUGCAUAUUUUCUAAUUCAAAUAAAAUAGCGAUAAACUCCCAAUAAAAUAUAAAUUUGAUUUUAACAUUUUUCCUCCGAUAUUUUUUUAUUUUGGAGAAGUCAUUUUAUCCCCUCUCUUUUCUUUUGAUAAUGGAAAUAUUCGGAGAGAAAAUGAUUAAAACCAAAAUGAUCCUCUUGUCAAUAUUUGAGAAAAUUCAAAUAUGAAAAUAAACAAAAUCCCCAACUCUCUCCAUGGGUCCUUGAGUUGCGUAGAAUUUCUAGGAUCAACCCAAAUGCAAUAAAAUAUGAUAUGCAAUGAUGACCUAUGUAUAACAUUCCAAAUUGAAAAUUUGGGAUAUUACACUCAGGUUAGGGGUUUGUUCACUCACCAUUGCAUGAGAAAAGAGAGGUAAUAGGGAUUCCCAGUCCCAAAUUGCAAAAGUACUUAUCAAUAAUCAAACAAAAACUCCUAUGGAGCAAAAACCUUUACUUUACCGCUUGGGAACCGCUACUAAUUUGUUUAGCAUGGAAGAUAUUGAUAACUGAUGGUCGCGAAUAAACAAGAAGGGUGCAUGUGUCUAAAUUUCAUUUACCUCUAUUUUAAAAACUUGAGCUCUGGCACCUUUGCAAAUCACUGCUUCCCUCUGGGAGGGGACUAUCUAUUUAGUUUUAUGUUGUGUCAUCACCCACUCAAAUAAGCACUAGAACCUGAGAGCACUUCUGUCAUGCUGAUGCAUUGUGUGUAGCUAAUGUUGGGUGCAUCAUGACUGGAUCUUUUAUACCAUGAAUUACGAUGUUUAGUCGCUGCUUGAACUUUGGGACUGCUCUGCAUUUAUGUUUUGCGGUCUCACAAAGGGCUAGUGAGAUACCACUACUGUCAUAUUGUAUCAUAGUUGUUUUAACAACGUGUUGCUGUUCGAGAUGUCUUAUUAUUGCUUGCUAGUUGAUUAUGUCAUUGAUAUGAGUUAAUAUAACUUUUAAGAGUUAUUGUCGACAUGGUAAGUUAUAAUCUUUGCUGCAAACCUAGGUGUUGUUUAAGCUUAUUUAUGGAAACAAGAGCAAAAUAGUUCGCAAAAGUUUUUCUUUUUCACUUUCAGUUUAUCAACUGAAUUGCUUGAGGACAAGCAAAGGUUUAAGCUUGGGGGAGUUGAUACGUCUCUGUCAUAUCUACUUUUCCUAACACUUUUCCUCUUAUUUUGGACUCUAAUUUGCAUGAUUUGAAUGAAAUUAACCCGGGCUGACAUUGUUUUCAGCAAAACAACCAUGGUGUUGUUUUGUGGAGAAAUAAAAGUUCUCGGAAUGGAACGAAACUUUGCAGGGAUUUUUAUACGAUAAAAGAGAAUUUCUAGAGCCAAGAACCACCGGAGAGAGGCAACCUGGGUGGGCACAACCCACCAGGGCACACCACCCCCUCUAGGCACUCCCAGGUGGGUUGUCCCCACCUAGUGGCCCUGCAGACCCUGAAACCAAUGCUAUAAAAUCCUAUAUUUCAAGAAAAAAUCAGGGAGAAAGAAUUAUCACGUUCCAUGAGACGGAGCCGUUGUCAUCUCCUGUUCUUCAUCGGGAGGCCAAAUCUGAGUUCGUUUGGGGCUCCGGAGAGGGGGAUCUUUGAUCUUCGUCAUCACCAACCCUUAUCCAUCGCCAAUUCCAUGAUGCUCCCCACCGGGAGUGAAUAAUUCCUUCGUAGGCUCGCUAGUUGGUGAGGAGUUGGAUGAGAUUCAUCAUGUAAUCAACUUAGUUUUGUUAGGGCCUGAUCCCUAGUAUCCAUUAUGUUCUGAGAUUGAUGUUGCUAUGACUUUGCCAUGCUUAAUGCUUGUCACUUUGGGCCCGGGUGCCAUGAUUUCAGAUCUGAACCAUUUAUGUUAUCACCAUUAUAUUCAUGUUCUAGAUCCGAUCUUGCAAGUUAUUGUCACCAACUACAUGUUAUGAUCCGGCAACCCCAGAGUGACAAUAGUCGGGACCACUCCCGGUGAUGACCGUAGUUUGAGGAGUUCAUGUAUUCACCUUGUGCUAAUGCUUUGUUUCGGUUCUCUAUUAAAAGGAGGCCUUAAUAUCCCUUAGUUUCCAAUAGGACCCCACUGCCAGGGGAGGGUAGGACAAAAGAUGCCAUGCAAGUUCUUUCCAUAAGCACGUAUGACUAUUUACGGAAUACAUGCCUACAUUAUAUUUAUGAACUGGAGCUAGUGUUGUAUCUCCCUAGGUUAUGACUAUCUCAUGAUGAAUAUCAUUCAACUAAUCAAUGAUCCAAUGCCUACGAUUUUCCUAUUGUUCCUGCCAAGUUACUAUUGCUAUUGUCACUAUUGCACUUGCUACAAAACUACUGCUAUCACUGUUACCGUUGAUGUUGCUACUGCUACCAUUAUCAAAACUAUCAUAUUACUAUGCUACUGAUCACUUCGCUGCAGAUAAUUAAUCUCUGGAUGUGGUUGAAUUGACAGCUCAGCUGCUAAUACUUGCAAAUAUUCUUUGGCUCCCCUUGUGUCGAAUCUAUAAAUUUGGGUUGAAUACUCUACCCUCGAAAACUAUUGCGAUCCCAUAUACUUGUGGGUUAUCAAAGAUCAUGCUCAUUAGUAGCUUCUCCCUUUGUAGUACAGAUAACAGUAGGUUAAUAUCCUAAUCUAACAAACACUUUUGAUCCUUGUUUUCUUAUGAAUAAAUCUGCUAUAUGUCCACUAAAUUAACGUAAACCCUAAAGCAACAUACUAAUGUAAGAGAUGGGGUACUUCCUUUAGAUCAACAUGUGCUGACAUACAACACAUCCUUUUGUCUGAAAGAAAGAUAUGUAGUUCUCCAGAAACUACAAAUAGAUGCAAGGUCUCAACAAUUUAAAGAUAUUUUAUGUUCAGAGAAAAUGAUUCACACCAGGCCAAAUUUGGAUGUGCCUAAAUUAGGUACAGUGGUACAUGCUAACAAUUGUGAUUUACCUAGACAUUUUAUUUACAUACUAGGAACUUGUUUAGUACAAAAUUAAUAGAGUACACUUUGGUACAAGAAGUAUAAAUCUUGACAAAAUGGGAUAUUAGCCUCUCCAAGCUACAGGACCCUUAGGAACUCUGUAUUCAAUACACAUCAGUUUAGUAAAAUAUUUAGAUCAACAUAAAAUCUACAAGGAAUACUAGAAGAUAUUAGGCAUAGCAUAUUAGCAUUGCAUCAAAAUACCAUUUGUAGUAAUGUAGAUUGGGAAAUUACACACUUCUUUGCUCAAAUAUCAUCAACACAUGACCUUUCGCAAGAUACCUGAGACAUUUGUAUUUCUACAUCAGUGCACGUGUACAAAGAAGUUAAUAUUUGAGAGCAAUCCAGAAGGACAUACAGAAACUUUUCCGCAUCCCAACUGCACGCAUCACAUGACUAUCCGUCUUGCCAUCCAUCUUCUCUUUUCUAGAUUCGGCAACUCUAUGUAAUCUAUAAACCAAAGUAGGUUUGUGACAACAUCUUCUGUUUAUCAAAGAUGUUUUUCAUUCAGAAUAGGUUAAUAUGGUUAAGAUGGUUUAUCUGAACUCCUAUUAUGAGAAAUUGGCCCAUGAAGAACAUGUGAGACAUAAAUAUUUCAUGAUCUUGUGAAGGAUCAGAUGCUGACUGAAGAAAGUCGGGAGCCAACAACAAGUUGAAUACCACGAGUUUGGAUUGAGUACUUGGAGCAAGGUGAAAUCUAAAAGGGUUCUGACUUGAGCACUGAAGUUCUUAUUGAAACAAGUCAAGGAACAACAAAACGUGUUAUAGUCAAAGUAUACCAUAGUUCCUACAUCCAGUAACUUCACCAUCUUAAAUCCUAGGGGAACGCAGAACCUUACAGCCAAAGAAAUCAGUACCAUAGUUUUCUUUGGCCGAGUUGGCAAUGAUUGAGGGUAGCUCGAGCAAGCCGGCAUCUCCACAGAGUGUGACAACGAGGAGAAGUGAUGCGAUGUUGCUCGUCGUUAUUAGUUAAUUUUGUAGUGCUGCAGCCGCACCAUUCUGCAAUCAUCACAAUGAAAAGAUCAAACCAAAACUUCAUGCUGAACUAAGCAGGCUGAUCAAUAUUGAAGUUGACUUAACGAAUACUUAAUUAAGGGAGACAAUGUUUCGGUAACACGCAACCAUCAUGCAGCCUUGCGUGGAUGUCCAUCUCACAACAGAUCGAUCUAUUACUAUGAUGCGAAUGCAAUCCAACAAACAGACACAUGUUGGCUGAAGCAAGGUCAGUUUCAGAGCCUGUAAAUGAAUAUGAAAUCAAGGAUUAUAUACAAAAUAAAUAGGAAUAUUAGGACAGAUGGACGCGUGUGAGACUUAUUCCUAUAUUAUUACACAACACGUGACAAGGAAAUUGACAAGGAUUCAUACACACACAUAGCAGCAACAACGAACUAUUGAGAUUAAAAAAGGACGCAAGCAUUCUUCCAGAAUUAUCGCAUAUGGACUCAACCAUACAUACAAAAUUCCAAAUAGAUCAACCAAACUAUAAACAACUGCUUGCGUUUGCAUAACUAGAUAGCAAUGCACAUUGAAAGAUGUAAGCACGAACCUAAAGUACCUAGAAUGGUUAAGUGAUUUUGCAGCCUCUAGCACCAUGAUGGGGUGUUAUAUAGCCAUGAUGUACGACACCACGACGGGGCGGCUAACACUAGGCAGAAUAGAUCACAUUCAUGAUUUCCGUCAAAGAUCGACCAUCAAACGAUGGCCAUGUCACCACAAAGAACCAAAGAGAGUACACAAACUACAAACAGAGAAGUGCCUUACUAAACGAUCUGUGUCGGCGGUGAGGUAGUCGAGGCGGAGCAACAUCUUUGAGCCCGAACUGGUAGCGGUGCAUAUGGAGACGUGAGGUAGAUGACCUACAUGGGAUUCGCACCGGUGGCCCAUGGCGGCUAGGGUUGCUACAGGGUCAUGUUCAGCAGCACAGAGGAAGUUGCGGAGGAUCGAAGGAGAGGACUGAGGGGCAGCUGGGCUGGUGAGCGACAUUGUGGGAGAGCACCGCAGCUAGCAGAAAUCAAUGGUGGCGGGAAGCAUCACGUUGAUGGAGUUCAGGUGAGAGGGGGAUCAAGGUGGAGGGAGAUGGUGGAUAAGAAAUUUUGGGUAAAGAUGGGUACCGCCGUACGGGGAGGUUAGAUUUUUCCUAGGAGAGGAGGUUAAAGCUAAGUAGGGGAGGGUGGGAUAAGUCCGGAGGUGGAAGGUUAAAACAAACAACACAUGUUAUCAUUUCGUUGGUAGAUAUCUGUUGGUAUAGGUGGGUUCUUGUUGUAGUGUUUGAUAAUUUGAUAUGUGGGUGGACCGAUGCUUGGGUGUUGUUCUUACUUGAACAAACCUCCCACUUAUGAUUAACCCCCUCACAAGCAUCCGCAACUACGAGAAAAGUAUUAAGAUAAAAUCUAACCAUAGCAUUAAACAUAUGGAUUCAAAUCAGUCCCUUACGAACUAGCGCAUAAACUAGGGUUUAAGCUUCUGUCACUCUAGCAACCCAUCAUCCAAUGACUACUCCACAAUGCAUUCCCUUAGGCCCAAAGAUGGUGUGAAGUGUCGUGUAUUCGACGUUCACAUGACACCACUAAGGGAAUCUUAACAUACAUAUCAUCAAAAUAUCGAACUCAUAUCAAAUUCACAUGAUUACUUGCAACAUGAUUUCUCUCGUGGCCUCGAGAACAAAGGUAACUACUCACAAAUUAUAUUCAUACUCAAGAUCAGAGGGGUACUAAAUAACAUAAUGGAUCUGAACAUAUAAUAUUCCACCAAAUAAAUCAUAUAGUAAUCAACUACAAGAUCUAAUCAACACUACUAGUCACCCACAGGUACCAAUCUGAGGUUCCGGUACAAAGAUUGAACACAAGAGUUGAACUAGGUUUUGAGAUGAGAUGGUGAUGUUGAAGAUGUUGAUGGAGAUUGGCCUCCCAAAGAUGAGAGAGUUUUUGGUUAUGAUGAUGGCCUCGAUUUCCCCCUCAGUGAGGGAAGUUCCCUCAGCGAAAUUGCUCUGUCGGAGGGCAAAAGUGCCCCUGCCCAAGUUCCGCCUCGAGACAGUGGUGCUCCGUUCCGAAAGUCCUCUCCUUACUUUUCUAGGUCACAAGACCUCAUAUACCAUAAGAUGGGCACCAGAGGUGGGCUGAACUUCUCACCACCCACCAAGGCGCGCCUCGGGCCCUGGCGCGCCGUGGUGUCUUGUGGGCACCCAGUGCCCCCCUCCGGUAGUUCUUUUCUCCAAUAUUUAUGAAAUAUUCCAAAAUAUUUCUCCAUUAAAUUUUAGCUCAUUUGGAGAUGUGUAGAAUAGGUAUCUCUUACAUAGCUUUUUCAGGUCCGGAAUUCCAGCUGUCGGUAUUCUCCCUCUUUGUGUAAACCUUGCAUAUUAUGAGAGAAAAGGUAUUAGAAUUACUCCAUAAAGCAUUAUUAUGCAUCAAAAACAUUAUAAAUAACAGUAGGAAAAUAUGAUGCAAAAUGGACGUAUCAAUGGGUGAACAUGAUCCUAACAUCUGCAACUGCCUCUGUUAUACUUAAUGGUGUACUAGGGAAAACCAUACAUUGCAAAUGUGCAUUUAGACAAGGUGAUCCUUUUUCCCCUCUGCUCUAUGUGAUUGUGGGAGAAAUCCUACAAAUUUUGGUUAAUGAAUCUUGGAGAAAUGCCACCCUAAAUCUCCCAUUUGACACUGCAUUCACUGAAAGUUACUUUAUCAUACAGUAUGCUGAUGAUACACUUGUAAUUCUCCAUACUGAAGUUGACCAUAUUAAGAGAUACACUGAUAUCUUAGACACUUUCUCCAAAUUCACUGGACUGGUUGUUAACUAUAGUAAGUCCUCUCUGGUUCAAUAAACAUUUCUUAUGAUAGGGCCUAGGAGCUAGCCAAUAUUAUUAACUGCAGAAAACAAACUAUACCAUUCACCUAUCUUGGUAUACCUAUGGGCUCUGCUAGGCCUAAAUUUUAGGAUCUUAUGCCCAUGGUUUCUAGGUUGGAUAAUAGAUUGUCUGGGAUUGCAUCCAUGAUGACAUAUUCUGGCAGACUUAUCCAUCUCAAGGCCAUUGUCUCUGCUCUAUCUAUAUUUGCAAUGUGCUGCAUUCGAGUUCCAUUUACUAUCCUAGAUGAAAGGAUCGAUAUGGUCGACUAGAGGGGGGUGAAUAGGCAACUAACAUUUUUUAUCUUUUCUUGACCAAAUUAAACAUAGCAUCAAAGUAGGUUGUCUAGAUGUGCAACUAGGUGAACAACCUAUAUGAUGCAACAACAACAAGCACACAAGCAAGCAAAGGAUACAACACAAUAUAAGCUUGCACAAGUAAGGUGAGAGAUACCAAGAGUGGAGUCGGUGGAGACGAGGGUGUGUUACCGAAGUUCCUUCCCUUUGAGAGGAAGUACGUCUCUGUUGGAGCAGUGUGGAGGCACAAUGCUCCCGAGGAAGCCACUAGGGCCACCGUAUUCUCAUCACGCCUUCACACAAUGCGAGAUGUCGUGAUUCCACUAUUGGUGCCCUUGAAGGCGGCGACCGAACCUUUACAAACAAGGUUGGGGCUAUCUCCAUAACUCAAUUGGAGGCUCCCAACGACACUAUGAAGCUUCACCAUAAUGGAAUAUGGCUCCGAGGUGAACUCAGCCGUCUAGGGUGCUCAAACACCCAAGAGUAACAAGAUCCGCGAGGGAUUAGUGGGGGGAAUCAAAUUUCUCUUGGUGAAAGUGUAGAUCGGGGCCUUCUCAACCAAUCCCCAGAAAAUCAACAAGAUUGAUUGUAGGGAUGGCAGUUUUGCCCAUGGGUAUGAGUACCCGCGGGUACCUUAACUGAAAACAGUGGUCAUGGGCAAGACUUGACAAGAUUGUGUAUCCAUGGGUAAUGGGUAUCCAUACCCGCAAAAUAUAUGGGUAGGGCAUGGGUAUGGAAUUAUGCCCAUGGGUAAUCCAAUGGAUAUCCAGAAAAAUUUAAUAAAUGAAAAUAACUCCUCUGGAAUGUGGGGUCAACAUUCAACUCAUAUGGCCCAACCCAUAAUACGUUCAACCAACCAUAGCUCAUAGGCCCGUAGCCACAAGUUUGCCACUCCUACGUCCUAUACCCCUAGAAACGAUGAAAUCUUGACUCAUCACCAACAGAGUCUUGUCCAACUCCUGCUUAUAUUACAUACUAGGGCCCCUAUGGUUACACAACCUAGUCAGCUACGUCGUGGUGGGGACCUCCACAGCUCUGUCUUCCCUAACUUGGGUGAUUUGGCUUCCAAAAUAUAUUUUUGUGUACAACGCCAUGGUCCACCAUGAUAGCCUAGGGCGGAACCGACUUCGAGGUCCUCAGGCUGGCCUACCAGGCUAGCAACCGACAUUGUGUGGUACCUUUGGGCUGUAACACCGCCAAGAGCCAUUUUUGAAAAAAAGCUUUACAUAUUUUAAAAUUCAUAACAAAUUUUGUAUUUGUGGACACGGUUCAGAAAUAGGAUUAUCUUUAAAAAAAUGGAAACAUUUUUUGAAACCAUGAACGUUUGCGAAAUUCUCGAAUAAUUUUUGAAUUUGUGAACAAAAUUUGAAAAAGGGAAUAUUUAUUUUGAAACUGUUAACAAUUUUUUAAAUUCCCUAACAUUUUUUUAACUUUUGAUUUUUGAAACAAAUGAUAUUUUGUCAGAACUUCCAAACAUUUUCCAAAAUUCUUGAACAUUUUUGAACUUUUGAAUUUUUUUUAAAAUAGGAACAUUUUUGAAAAAUGCGAACAGUUAUUCAAAAAUAAAGGAUUUUUAAAAUUUGUGAUUUUUUUAAAAUAAAUAUUUUUGAAAUUAUGCACAAAUAUUUUAAUUUUGAAAAGGAAAAUAUUAUUAGAAAAACAUGGAGUAAAGAAAUAGAUAAACGUGAAUAUGCUAGUUCCAUCAACUUGAAAGCCAGCGCGCCAUGACGGGCGCUAGGCUCCCAGCGAGCCGGCCGUUUUUCUUCCGAUUUUUCUAUAUCGUCUUCUUUACUUCGGUUCAUUUUACUAAAAUUUAAAAUAUGUUCACAAAUCUCGAUAACGAAUUUAAAAAAUAAAUCAUCAAUUGGAAAAAUAUUCACAAAAUAAAAAAAGCUCAUGAAUUUUUUUUAAUAUUCAUGACUUAAAAAAUGUCUGCCGUUCACGUAUUCAAAAAUUGUUCUGAUUCAGAAAUAUGUUCACGGAUUAAAUUUUGUUUUGCUAAGUGAUAUAGGCUAAGCUAUUCCAGUGAGGUUAAGAUGUCAACCCUUUCUUGUUGCAAAUUCCCAUCUAUAGCCCAAUGACACAAAAAACAUGGCGGUUGAGAAUUAAAAAGUGUCACAAGCAAUAAAACUUGUAGGAUUUAAAUUCUGUUCAAUGAUGCUAGUCCACAUAUUUAGUUUCAGGCAACAGAACUUACAGGUUGGGGCGAUCGUUGUGGAAAUCAUAUUCUCGCGCUACGGGAAUUAUCUUGUCCGAGAAAAAGAAAUACCAAAGUUUCAUUGACACGAAAACAGUUUCCAACAACCAGUAGAUUUUUUUUAGGGAAAUGGUCAAGCAAAGAGGCAACAAUAACAUCAUUCUAACACACUCCUUUUUUUUUGGCAGAGUUUAUUGGUAAAGUAACACAUAAUUUCAGGCAACAAACUGUGUCUGCAUAACCAACAUCUUUUACUGCAGUAGCCAAGUUAAAAAUAAAGUCAGCAACCUCAUCCACCCCCUGCAAGCUACUUUUGCAUAAACAUGUACCGGCACUCGCACAUGGCUACUACUCUCUUCUGUAUCGGCAAGAGGCAACAUCUUAGCUACAAUUCACAUAGAUCACUGGAACACAAGUAUAUGUUCGUGCCUAGGCGGGCUACUUGGUAGUAUGCCUAAAGCAAGAUAACUCAAACUUUUUUUUUUUUGCCUGAAACCUUGGUAAGUUCAUGUAAACUCCGGAAAACCGAGGGGGAAGGAGAUCAUAGGCAAGUAGAUGCAUAUAUGUGCACAACUAGAUUUUCUUUGUUACCUAGAUCCAUUGAUGUUUUAACAUCAACUUGAUUAUUUUGACUUAUGAGGUGAGGCAGCAAAGUGGUGGUGAUGAUUAAUAAGUUGGAACAGAAAUUGGCGAAUUUAACUGGAAAAUAGUAAUAAUGUAAUGGCAAAUUAUGUUGUACACUCUAGUCUAGUUGCUAUAUGCACCAUUCCCAUCGCUCGGUCGACCCAUCACUGUUGCAUGCACGUGUAUUCAUUCCUUGCCUGCUCUUAUUUUGCACAAGCAUAUAGUGAAUAAUGAUAAUGAUAUAAGUACUCCCAUGUGCGUGCUGCUGCACUUUCCAUUAUCGGGUCUAAGGGUUAUUUUCGCCCAGGCUAUCCUGACGCUGCAUACGCGUGCAACAUUCUGGCAUUUUAGCAAAAAUAAAAUAAAAUAAGAAGCGCAAAAAGGCCAAAAAGUAGUGAAGGGAGUACUACCAUUACUACCAAGUAGCAGUAGUAGCACCACUGGCACCUAUAACCACACAAAUUUCAGCACAUAUAUCUGUAAAUUCGUUAACUAAUUCCAAGAUAUGCAUAAAAAUCUACUCCGAAUGCUUUUAUUUGACCAAGGUAGUUCUUCGGAGAGAAAUUUGGCUAAGGUAGUUGCCAUUACACAGUUGCGCGCGCGCACACACACACCAGUGUUCUUGGCAUCAUCGUCUCUCACACCAAGUAGUAGCAAACUACGCGUAAUUAACACACAUACAUAAUCAGUCACUAGUCACUGCACACACACACACACACACACACACACACACACACACACACACACACACACCAGUAGUAGCAAGCUAGGUAGAAAGAGUGCUCCAAAACAGAUAUAGCACUAGUACUGCAGGGAAAUGGGUAGAGAAGCAACGCGUGACGCAUCGAUCGAUAUCAACUAAGGGUAUACCAGUGCGGAGAUCAACUUGCAGACGCCGAACAGGAAGAAGAGACCGAGGGGCACCGCGAGCAGAAUGAAGUGGGCUACCAGGGGGUUCCCGUGGACGAGCACAUGGCUGCUGGGGCAGCUCCCGACGGUGACGCGCGCCACCAAGAAGACGACGUUGUCGAGGCGGUAGAAGGUGGCGACACCCAUCCCAUGGGCGAAGACAGCGAAGCUCCAGGGCACUCCCGUGCGCCAGUCCUCCAACGCGAAGGCGGCCACCGUGGCCGCCGCGGCCUGGGCGGCGCUGGACAGCAGCAGCAGCAGCGCGUCGACGCGCAUGUGCGCCACCUCAUCCUCGGUGGUCCUGCACGUCCCCUG
rnacentral:lncRNA from 1 species